CAGGAAACUAUAUGAACCAUAUAUCGUCUCACAUAAUCAAAUGAACGAUGCUGAUAAACUUGUGCACUGUUGUUCUCAUUAUGAUCCAUGGUGUGGAAAGUUUGAAAUUAGAACAAACUCAAAAGGUCUUGGUGAAGCAAAUAGGUAAAAGUGUGUCCUUUGAAUGUAAGGUAACAGGCUUGGGCACUGGUGGUUAUGUCCACUGGUACCAUAAAGAAAAUGAAGGAACAUUUAAAAGAAUACUGUACAUGAGCGCAUCCGGGAUUGCUACAAGUGAAGCAACAGAAUUUUCCGCUGAAAAAAAGGGAGAUUCAUAUAACAUAAAGCUCCAUA